rnacentral:rRNA from 1 species
AUUGAACGCUGGCGGCAGGCCUAACACAUGCAAGUCGAACGGUAACAGGAAGCAGCUUGCUGCUUCGCUGACGAGUGGCGGACGGGUGAGUAAUGUCUGGGAAACUGCCUGAUGGAGGGGGAUAACUACUGGAAACGGUAGCUAAUACCGCAUAACGUCGCAAGACCAAAGAGGGGGACCUUCGGGCCUCUUGCCAUCGGAUGUGCCCAGAUGGGAUUAGCUAGUAGGUGGGGUAACGGCUCACCUAGGCGACGAUCCCUAGCUGGUCUGAGAGGAUGACCAGCGACACUGGAACUGAGACACGGUCCAGACUCAUACGGGAGGCAGCAGUGGGGAAUAUUGCACAAUGGGCGCAAGCCUGAUGCAGCCAUGCCGCGUGUAUGAAGAAGGCCUUCGGGUUGUAAAGUACUUUCAGCGGGGAGGAAGGCGAUAAGGUUAAUAACCUUGUCGAUUGACGUUACCCGCAGAAGAAGCACCGGCUAACUCCGUGCCAGCCGCCGCCGUAAGAC